rnacentral:rRNA from 1 species
UCCGCAAUGGGCGAAAGCCUGACGGAGCAAUACCGCGUGAGGGAGGAAGGCUCUUGGGUUGUAAACCUCUUUUCUCAGGGAAGAAAAAAAUGACGGUACCUGAGGAAUAAGCAUCGGCUAACUCCGUGCCAGCAGCCGCGGUAAUACGGAGGAUGCAAGCGUUAUCCGGAAUGAUUGGGCGUAAAGGGUCCGCAGGUGGCAUUGUAAGUCUGCUGUUAAAGAGUUUGGCUCAACCAAAUAAAAGCAGUGGAAACUACAAAGCUAGAGUNUGGUCGGGGCAGAGGGAAUUCCUGGUGUAGCGGUGAAAUGCGUAGAUAUCAGGAAGAACACCGGUGGCGAAGGCGCUCUGCUAGGCCGAGA